rnacentral:rRNA from 1 species
UACGUAGGUGGCAAGCGUUAUCCGGAUUUACUGGGUGUAAAGGGCGUGUAGGCGGGACUGCAAGUCAGAUGUGAAAACCACGGGCUCAACCUGUGGCCUGCAUUUGAAACUGUAGUUCUUGAGUACUGGAGAGGCAGACGGAAUUCCUAGUGUAGCGGUGAAAUGCGUAGAUAUGAGGAGGAACACCAGUGGCGAAGGCGGUCUGCUGGACAGCAACUGACGCUGAGGCGCGAAAGCGUGGGGAGCAAACAGG